rnacentral:rRNA from 1 species
UACGUAGGGAGCAAGCGUUGUUCGGAAUUACUGGGCGUAAAGGGCUCGUAGGCGGCCAACUAAGUCGGACGUGAAAUCCCUCGGCUUAACCGGGGAACUGCGUCCGAUACUGGAUGGCUUGAGUAUGGGAGAGGGAUGCGGAAUUCCUGGUGUAGCGGUGAAAUGCGCAGAUAUCAGGAGGAACACCAAUGGCGAAGGCAGCUCGCUGGGACGGUACUGACGCUGAGGCGCGAAAGCGUGGGGAGCAAACAGG